CCUUGGAUCUGCGGUGGGUACGGGCAGACUAGAGUGAUGUAGGGGAGACUGGGAAUUCCUGGUGUAGCGGUGAAAUGCGCAGAUAUCAGGAGGAACACCGAUGGCGAAGGCAGGUCUCUGGGCAUUUACUGACGCUGAGGAGCGAAAGCAUGGGGAGCGAACAGGAUUAGAUACCCUGGUAGUCCAUGCCGUAAACGUUGGGCACUAGGUGUGGGGGACAUUCCACGUUUUCCGCGCCGUAGCUAACGCAUUAAGUGCCCCGCCUGGGGAGUACGGCCGCAAGGCUAAAACUCAAAGGAAUUGACGGGGGCCCGCACAAGCGGCGGAGCAUGCGGAUUAAUUCGAUGCAACGCGAAGAACCUUACCAAGGCUUGACAUGUGCCAGACCGCCUCAGAGAUGGGGUUUCCCUUCGGGGCUGGUUCACAGGUGGUGCAUGGUUGUCGUCAGCUCGUGUCGUGAGAUGUUGGGUUAAGUCCCGCAACGAGCGCAACCCUCGUUCCAUGUUGCCAGCACGUAAUGGUGGGGACUCAUGGGAGACUGCCGGGGUCAACUCGGAGGAAGGUGGGGAUGACGUCAAAUCAUCAUGCCCCUUAUGUCUUGGGCUUCACGCAUGCUACAAUGGCCGGUACAAUGGGUUGCGAUACUGUGAGGUGGAGCUAAUCCCUAAAAGCCGGUCUCAGUUCGGAUUGGGGUCUGCAACUCGACCCCAUGAAGUCGGAGUCGCUAGUAAUCGCAGAUCAGCAACGCUGCGGUGAAUACGUUCCCGGGCCUUGUACACACCGCCCGUCAAGUCACGAAAGUUGGUAACACCCGAAGCCGAUGGCCUAACCACCU
rnacentral:rRNA from 1 species